rnacentral:lncRNA from 1 species
CAUGUUUUUGCUAUUCAACGCACAGUCCUUAUACCAAAACAAGUCAACGAAGCGGUACACGCGAAAAAAAGAAAAAAACAAGCAGUCGCACGCACCUCCCGAUCCAAUCUCAACCUCCAGCGCGCCGCCACCUCCUGCCCCGCCCGACGCCGGCGACGGUCGAUCCGAUGUUCGCCGGCCGCCGGCACCACUUGCGCCGCCCAACGCCGCUGCCAGCUGCGUCGUAGCUAAGGGGGCAACAGUCGCCGCUGCCCCACCUUGUCAUGCCGUUCACGGAGGCGAGGCGACCACCGCCACCGUAGGGCCCAGCGUCGCCUCCCGCCUGCGCCGCUGCCACGUAGGCGACCGCUGCCGCCCACCUGCGUUCAAGGAGGCGAGGCGACCACUGCCACCGUAGGUAUUUCGUCAGCUUCGGCCACCUGUUUGUUCAUAAGGGGGUACACAGGAACCCUGAGUUCAAAUUCUUCUCCCAGAAGUUGAAUACAGGUCAGCAUGGAUUGGAAGCUCAAGCGAUCGAAGAGCGUUCCUAAGCUCAAGAACGGAUCGCCCACGAGUCCGACUAAAGGUAAUUCAUUUGGUUGUCCACUUCCCUCUACUCUGUUCAUUAAGAGACAUGUUUUUUCCUUGGACUCAACGUGUGUGGGAUUCUCCCUUCAUUUGCUUUGAGAUUUACAGAAAACUGUUAUGUAUAGAAAAAGGCAAAGAAAAACAAGAAUAAAGUUAAAAGAAACAUGCUAAUCAAGUAUUUUUUUGUUCAGCUUCACCUAAGAGCCUAAAGUGGCAUGACGGGCACCAAACUAAACAAGAAUAAAGUUAAAACUCAAUUAUUUUCUGCCAGCAAGAGAUUCUUGGAUGAUGCACUGAACUAUCUCUGAAUAUUUCUGCGCGAAUCAAAUACAUAAUAACAUGUAUAAUUCCGGUUGUAGAACUCCAUAACUACAUAUAUUGAGAUUGAUAACUUCACAUUAUAAAAGCAACACUAAGAUGCUGGUAACCAGAAACAUUAAUAUUGCUGGUUACCAUCGUUUUGGAAAACACUUGACGCAUUGAGGAGACGCCUUUUUUCGAAAACAGAAACGACCACUAGGAAAACAUUCAGAAUAACCCCUGUACCCAGGCAAAUAGAUCAAAACUGUAAUUUGAUAUGAAUUGGGUGUGCUUUCUAAGAUUUGUUUAAAUCGGUUUUAUAUUCUAUGAACUCCAUUUGAAUUUUAGUGAUUUUACACCCUUGCAUUUGGAUCCGAGAUUUUAUAUGAAUAUAUUUUUAGCAAAUUACGUGUCGAAUUUCUGGUUACUAUGGCAUCUGCAUUAUUUUCUGCCAACAAGAAAUAAAUUAUGUUAUAUGUGUCGUCUUAAUUAUUGUAGUUUCCAAAUGCAAUGCACCAUGAUAUUCAUGGACUCUAGGUUCAGUGCUCUACUGGCUUAGCUUGCAUCCUCCUGGUCAACGUGUUAUCUUUCUUCCUGUUUUUUGACUCUCAAGAGUAGUUAGGUAGAAAUACACAAAAUAAUCCUUGUUAAGGGCAUCAUGCCAAAGAUCUAUUUAAUCCCCCAGAUUCAAACAUAUGUCACCAUUUGACCCAACAGGAGUAGUUUCAAAAGCAAAAUAUUCUCUUAGUAAAAUAAUAUUUAAUCUGUGUGUAUCUUACCCACUUGAUUAUUGAGUACCGUCGUUUGUGUGUCCAUUCGAUUUCUCAUAUGAAGCUACUGAAUCUGACAAUUCCUUUUAUUUUACAACGCUAUUGCUUAUUUUUCCUAUCAAAAAUAAACUAGAGUGAAUUAACGGUUUGUGUUUCUUUAGAUGUUCUCGGUUGGGUGUCCUCUCUACUACUGAAGUUUUACCACCAUCUGGUGGUGCUUGAGAGCAGAGACGUCAUACUUUCAUCAGCAACGGCCAAAUCCCCAGCGCCGCCGAUGAUGUACACCCCUGUACCCCUUGACUGUACCCCUUGACAUCCAGUACCUCGCGUCUGCUCAACUUGAACACCUCCUCAGUACGUACAUCUCUGAAUUUUGCCCUUGCUUGAGAAGGUCGAGCAUUGUUUUGUUGUAGCUAUAAUUUGAGUUUAGAAGAUAUACUCCUCUCUUUUUGACAUCAAUUUUUUCAGUUGAUUUUUCUCGAGGAUGGUGCCCUUUAUGUGCAUGAACUGAUGGGUGUGUUCACAACGUAGAGCAGCGCUUCUGUGUCCAGUCUCAUGUCUUUCUCUUCAGCACGGAUCAGCGAGUACUACCGAGCAAAAAUGUCCUUAUCUUCGUUUGUUUCUUCCUUUUCCUUACUACUUUUGUGGCCCCAAAUCUCACGAUGGCUCUAUGCAUGUUCUUUUUGUUGACAUGAAUUUUACCAUGAAAAUUUCCUACUGAUCUACAAUGUUCUGCUAUCUAAAUUUGUAUGUAUAUUGUGAAUGAGUAGACACUGGUGCAGAAACCCAAUUGGAUGAAAAUACUGAGUACACAAAGGUGUAAUUAUUAAUUAUUUUCUUGCCUUAAAAGAUAUGCAACUAGCAGAGUUUCUUAUUUUCAUCAAUUGGGUUAUGACCGAAGUGAAGGACUUAUGUGGACAGUUUGGCAGAUUUCAAUGGCAAGAUUUUUGUACAAUUACAGUGGCAGAUUUCAAAAGCAAGAUUUUUGUACAAUUAUAGUGGCACAUUUCAGAAAUUUGUAGAGCACAUGAUUUACAAAAACUAGAUAUUCUGUGAAGCUGUGUACUUCUUACCCAUUGCACUAAUCUUUUGCUUUGAGCGAUUGGCUAAAAGAAAGUACUUCCUUUGGAAUAAUCUUUCGUGCACUCACAAGUAUAAUCUCUCCAUUUCCUUAUUUCUUGUUCUUCCGCCAGUAGUAUUUGUUUUAGCUACUAUUUGCCCUUGAAUAAAUCACUCAUGCUAUUUUGAUGAGGUUUAUUCUAGCCGUUUGCUCAUGUGAACAGAAACAUUUUAUCUGUUUAAUGUGAGAAAUAAAUCAAACAACUACUCGUGUAAUAGGUUAUGGGGUGUGAUGAUCUUUCGGUCGCCACAGGAGUGACGUGAGGGGGUACGGGCUGUGGUCCAGGGAGGAGUCUGCUCACACUAGCAUCAAUGUGUGUCUAUUUUGUUCCUUCAAGUUGUUUGUAGAGAUAAUAUAAGUAAAACUGUCAUGAUGGUCUUGUGGUAACUAUAUGACCAAUCGGUGUGAAGUUUCACUCUAUUUGUAUGAGAGUUCAUAUGUUUGCAUCUCUACUUGUACUUCGAUGAUGAUGUGGAGCUCAAGUAGAUGUCGACAAAGAGUGAGGACGGAGCUUUUCACAUACAAAAUUCGUGAUCCAAAUAUCAAUUACCUAACCCGGUGCAACGCACGGGCACUUUUACUAGUUGUUCUAAAACAAAGAAGUGCGUAGCGAUUCAAUGUCGCGAACGUAGCAAGCGUUCUUUUCUUUUCUUCCGGACUCUCGCUCUCUUUUUUCUUUUUCUCUUCUCUACUACUAAUAAACAAGAGAACGUAUUCAUCGCUAAGUACACCCAGCCUAACCUACACGUAAAAACAUGAAUCAAUAACAGCCUCACGAUCAGGAUCACUUAAUUAGAUCUAACCAUAGAGAUAAAACUAACCCUCAUCCGAAGGUGCGUUUAGCAAUUUCUUAGCGCGGACGAAAACUCUGAGAGAAGUGAACGGAAGUUUCACCGCACCCACGUCGCCGAAAUUAGCGCUAACCCCCAUCUCCGUCCAAACAAUUCUUUCCCACGACGCGGCGGCGGCUACUCCCCCUCGCUUCUUCGGCUGCACCGGUCUCCUCGCUCAGCACGAAGCGGACGCAUGGAGGGCGGCAUCCGGCAAACGAGGCCCCGAGCGACCCCAUGGUGCUGCGGCGCCUGCAUCCCUCGCCUCUCCGAUCGCACCAGUCUGCUCCCUAAGCAGGAAGUGGGCAUGCAGGGCGACCGCCGCCAAACAAGCCCGCUGUCACAUCCCUAACCCUUAAGCAAGAUAGCAUUGUGCUCAUGUCUUCUUUGCAUUUGCAUCUAAGAAGUUUCAACAAAAACACCAAAGUGGCAAAGGAAAAACUCAAAACCCUAGCCACCAUUCCAAUUAAAGGAAAUUUCAAACUAGUUUAAAUCAAUGAACCCAAAAUGGCCUCAAGAAAUGUUCAAACUUUCUGAUAAAUCAUGAAAGUAAAUGAGCAUUGGAGAAAACUAUUUUCUUGACACUUUAAACAUUUUAAAUAAAUGCAAAAGCCACUGGAUUCAAAUUUAAAAAUUGAAAUCAGAAACUAUAAUUUUCCAAAAAUGUUGAAAACCUUGGAAAUGAGUGGGGAUAUUAUAACAAAUAUUUCAGGAGGUCUAAAAUAGUUUUUACUUUUUGUUUUGGAGGUGAAAUAAUUAGCAAAGCAAUAAAUAGUAAAACAAAAAAACAAAAACAGAGGAAAUGGAAAAAGACUUACCUGUCGCCCAAGCCAGGCCCGGCCCAUCUNUUGUAGCUUGCUACGACUCGUCUACAUUCGCCGAUGACCGACACCUGCUUUGUUGGGUCAUGUAUGCCUGUCCUUGUGCGGUACUGCCACUUUGGUUUAUAACUAGACAUGUCGAUCCGGGUUCUUUGACAUUGGAUUGCUAGCGACACUAUCGCAUACGUGAGUCAAAAGACGCAAACGGUCCCGGCUAAGGUAAGGCUGCAGCCGUGGAGUUAACCGUGCGUGAGACCACAAAGGGAUGCGAUGUGUUACAAGCUGGAUUCCUAUGGCUUAGGAUCGGGGUCCCGACAGCGUUGGUAUCAGAGCCUGACUGAUUGUAGGAUUACUAAGCCAAACUGGUCGAAGUUGAGUCUAGAAUUUCUUAGUUAUAUAUAAGGGAAUUGUUUGUGUAAGGGAACGUAACACUCUUGUUCUCUUCCCAAGAUAUUCUAUUCUGGUCAUCCUCAUCUUUUCUGCGGGAAUUAAGGACUAGGUUACUCAUCUUCUCCUAGGCUCGUGUUUCUGAUCGGUAGAUUAUAGGACUACGGGUCGAGAGAUAUUGGGUUUCUUUUAUUCCUAGGAAGCAGGAAGUAAGUUUGAUGAUCAGAGAGUUGAACUUGAUAGUUGAGUGGUUACGUUAUUCCACUUUGGGUUGUCUCAAAUUUGUUUUGAGCAUUUACGGCCGUUAUGCUGCCCAAUUUUGCAUUCGGAGCUCUAAUGCUUUUGCAUUACUCUCUAUUUACAGAUGCCUGGCCGUCCUUCUCGUCAGGUGGUACGUCUGACCAGGUGCAUUGAUGUACCGGGUCAUACGGCCAUGCUGGUCAGGGUGAUGUCGGUGUGCGGUUACCGCUGGUACCCCGAGUACAUAGUGGAGGAACAGUACCGAGACUUCAACCAGAGUCAGUACAUUUGCACUGUUAGGGUAUUUCCAGACUACCCUGGAGCUGAGGAGCCAAUCCAUUGGUCCUAUGGGUUGGGAGUCACUGUUGACAUGGCAGUACAAGAUGCUGCCUAUUCAAUGCUGACUAUUAUGAGAGCGAGACAUGCACUGCUGCAGAAUUCAGAGUUCUGCUAUGUUCCGGCCUCUCAGUCUGGUGAAGAGGGAUACCUCAGUGGAGUCUAUUUUGAUUCUUCUAUGGAGGAUCCACUUCUGCAGUCCACUGUUGAGAUGCUAGAGAACAGAGACAGGGAUGCUCGUGCUCUCCGCAUGGAGCUUUAUGCUACCCGUGCCCGUCUGUGGACAGUUUUGACGCAGCUGGCACCGGUAGUCUAGACAGGGUAUGGGGAGAUGGAGAUGCUGAACCCUAUUAGGAACCAUCUUCCGGCCCACGUUGACUGGCCAGCUAUAGGAGGAGUCACACCUCUUCGGGGACCCCUCUUACCACCAGUCAGGGGACCAAGGCCACAUCCGUGUCCUUAUGGAUCCCAGGGAUCUCAGGCUAGAGUGUUUCCUGAUCCGCAGGUUGAGCUUCCGGGUCAUGGAGGUAAUCUCUAUGAGAUGUUCUAUGCGGAUGCCUGAGCUAUGAGCAGAAGGAUAGUAUGGUAGUAGCCGUAUGUUCACAGUCCUGCGUGACUUGUGGAGUAUGGUAGUAAUGUGAAACGAAUUCCGGAGGCCUAGAUAAAUAAUGUAUAGGAAGCUUGUAAGCCUCUGAUGAGUAGUUCCACCAUUUCAGUAGUUUGCUCUUCGAGUAAGUUUGUACUGAACUAUGUAAGGGUGUGUAUGAAGCAUGGUGUAUAUAUAGCAGUUGCUUGUUACCAUGUUGUUCAGAUAUUCAUUUCCGCAUUCCGUGUGUUCAGUACAUCCUUAAUCCAUAGUUAGUAUUGAUAUGAUGUUGGUCUAAGCUAUGAGUUUGUUUGUCAGGAUGGUGUUCACCAGGUUGAACCGUUCCCCUGCUCAUGAGCAAGGUGAGGGUAGUCAAGCGUCGCAGGAAGACCUGCCUCACCCACCUUCUCUGGUAGAAGUGAUGCUUGAGGCAGAAAGAAACAAAAGGGAGACCAACCGACUGCUAGAGCGUAUUGAGCAGAAUACGGCUCGACAGCCUAGGAAUGCUGCAGUGUCCCUCAAUGACUUUGUGAAGCUGAAUCCUCCAAAGUUUCAUCAUUCCGUCGAUCCCCUCGACGCUGAUGACUGGCUGUGCAGCAUUUCACGCAAGAUUCGCUCUGCGAAUGUGUCUGAGGCCGACAAGGUGACCUUUGCGGCAUAUUUCCUGGAGGGACCCGCCAAUCUGUGGUGGGAGAAUUUUGAAGCUAUGUGUCCCACUGAACCAGUGGCCACAUGGGCAGACUUCAGCGCAGCUUUCCGUCUGCAUCAUAUUCCAGAGGGCCUGAUGGACAGAAAGAGAGAGGAGUUCUGUGCCUUCACUCAGGGCAAGUUGUCUGUGGAUGCCUAUAGCCGCGAGUUCGGUAACCUCGCCCGCUAUGCAACAGAGGAGGUGUCUACUGACGCCAAGAAGCAAGCAAGAUUCCGUAAGGGUCUGAGCCCUGAGCUCCGUCGAGACCUGCGCCUCCAUGAGUGUGCAAGCUUUCAAGCCCUGGUCAACAAAGCGAUCAGUGCAGAGACUGGUCAUACUGACUUCGAAGCCACAAGGAAGCACUCCCGUGACUUUGGCUCAUCUUCUGGUUCCGCGUUCCAAAAACGCAGGUUGUGGGUUCCAAACAGUUCUCAGCCGCCAAGAUACACUCCGAGGCCAUCCUACGUGGCGCCUCAGACGAAUCAGGCCAACCCUCCAUCAAAAGCUUAUGGUGGUCCAGCUAGCAAUGCUGCACCACGUGCCAACCAGGUGAUAUGCUACAAGUGUGGAGAACCAGGGCAUUAUUCCCGUGAGUGUCCUCAGAAUGUGGGUGCCAAGCCACCCGGAAAGUCCGUCGGGCAGGCCAAGUCGGGCAAAGCUUAUUAUGUGAAGCCAACUCCUGCACGUGGCCGUGUGAACUAUGUGUCAGCAGAAGAAGUUGUAGAGGAUCCCGACGUCAUGCUGGGUACGCUUCUUGUUAAUCAUCACCCAGCGUCCGUUCUCUUUGACACUGGGUCUUCUCAUUCCUUCAUUUCAGAAAGUUAUGGACAGUUGCAUAACAUGUCAUUCUGUGAUAUGCCAACCCCAUUGGUUGUCCAAACCCCUGGUAGUAAAUGGCAAACCUCUAGGAUAACCUAUGACAAUGAAAUUCUAGUAGACAGGCUAGUUUUUCUAGCCUCAUUGAUAGCAUUGAAAUCUUCGGAUAUUAAUAUCAUCUUGGGCAUGGACUGGAUGUUAGCUCACUAUGCCAAGAUUGAUACUCACUCUAGAAAUGUCCAGCUUACCCAUCCCUCGGGUGAGAUAGUAAAUGUCUCUACUCGAGUUGCCAAAUGCCAACUCUAUUCCUUAAAUGCCAACCCUCUUCCGGAACUUGAAGACAUUCCGGUAGUCCGUGACUUCCCGGAUGUUUUUCCAGAGGAACUGCCAGGAAUUCCACCUGACAGAGAUGUAGAGUUUGUGAUAGAUCUUGUUCCGGGAACUGUCCCAAUAGCCAGAAGACCUUAUAAGAUGGCACCCCUAGAGCUAGCCGAACUUAAGAAGCAAUUAGAUGAGGCCUUGAACAAAGGUUCCAUUCGUCCUAGCUCUUCUCCUUGGGCUUGUCCCGUCCUCUUCGUCAAGAAGAAAGACGGAACGGAUCGGAUGGUUGUAGAUUACCGACCAGUUAACCUGGUCACCAUUAAGAACAAGUAUCCGCUCCCCAGGAUCAACGACGUGUACGAUCAGCUCGCUGGAUCCUCAGUUUUCUCCAAAAUGGAUUUGAGGUUGGGAUACCAUCAAAUCAAGAUUAAGAACGGGGAUAUUCCAAAAACGGCCUUUGUUACUCGUUAUGGCCAAUAUGAGUACACCGUUAUGUCCUUCGGUUUAACCAAUGCCCCAGCCACCUUCUCUCGGCUGAUGAAUUCAAUCUUUAUGGAGUAUUUGGAUAAAUUCGUCGUAGUAUACCUCGAUGAUAUUCUCAUCUACUCAAAGAAUGAACAAGAACAUGCCGAGCAUCUAAGGCUGGUAUUGAUGAAACUUCGAGAGCAUCCCCUUUAUGCCAAAUUUUCAAAAUGUGAAUUCUGGUUACCAGAAGUGACCUAUCUAGGCCACGUAAUCUCUGGUAAGGGUAUUGCUGUCAAUCCCGAGAGAGUUCAAGCUGUCCUUGAUUGGACUCAACCUGAAUCGGUUAAGCAAGUUUGGAGUUUUCUUGGUCUAGCGAGCUAUUGUUGCCGCUUCGUUGAGAAUUUCUCCAAGGUUGCAAAGCCUCUAACUGAACUCCUCAAGAAGGAUAAAAAGUUCGAGUGGACACCACAGUGUGAGCAUAGUUUUCAGGAACUGAAAAGACGCCUGACUUCCGCACCUGUGUUGCUACCACCAGAUUUUUCUAAGGACUUUGUUAUCUAUUGCGACGCCUCGCGACAAGGAUUAGGUUGCAUUCUCAUGCAAGAUCGUCAUGUGAUCGCAUACGCAUCUCGACAGUUGCAUCCACAUGAGGAUAAUUAUCCCACACAUGACCUUGAGCUUGCAGCUGUGGUCCAUGCACUAAAAACCUGGCGACAUUACCUUUUGGGUAAUCGUUGCGAAAUAUUCACUGAUCACCAAAGUCUGAAAUAUAUCUUCACCCAGCCGGAUUUGAAUCUUAGGCAAAGACGGUGGGUUAAGUUGAUCUCGGAUUACGACUUAGGGAUAACUUACACCCCGGGGAAGGCCAAUGUUAUGGCCGAUGCACUAAGUCGUAAAUCUUAUUGCAACAAUUUGAUGCUACAACAAGGUCAACCGCUUCUCCAUGAGGACUUUCGGAAUUUGAAUCUUCAUAUUGUUCCUCAAGGAUUCCUUUCUACCCUGGUGGCGAAGCCUACUCUUAAGGAUCAAAUUAUAGCUGGCCGAAAGCGUGAUAAGGGUAUAUCACGGAUCAAGGAGAAUAUUUUUAGCGGAAACGCUAAAGAAUUUUCCAUGAAUGAUCAAGGUGUGGUGUUCUUCCAGAAUCGUUUAGUGGUUCCUAAGAACCCACAUCUAAGGCAGUUAAUCCUUAAGGAGGCUCAUGAUUCCCCUCUCACCAUUCAUCCCGGUAGUACUAAGAUGUAUCAGGACCUACGCCAGAGGUUCUGGUGGACUAGGAUGAAGAGAGAAAUUGCUGAGUUCGUUGCUAACUGCAACGUUUGUCGCCGAGUUAAGGUAGAACAUCAAAGGCCUGCUGGCACCCUUCAACCUCUAGCUAUUCCUGAAUGGAAAUGGGAUAAAGUUAGCAUGGAUUUCAUUACCGGAUUUCCCAAGACCAAGAAAGGAAAUAAUGCUAUCUUUGUGGUCAUUGACCGUCUUUCCAAAGUGGCUCAUUUUCUUCCUGUUCGUGAGAGUAUAACAGCUAGCCAGCUAGCAGAGUUAUAUAUCUCUCGAAUAGUGUCUCUUCAUGGUGUUCCCCUGGAAAUUAACUCGGACUGUGGAAGUAUCUUUACUUCUCGCUUCUGGGAAAGUUUUCAGAAUGCCAUGGGGACUCACUUAUCUUUUAGCACUGCUUUCCAUCCUCAAUCAAGUGGUCAAGUAGAAAGAGUGAAUCAAAUUCUAGAAGAUAUGCUCCGAGCUUGUGUUAUAUCAUUCGGUAUGAAUUGGGAGAAGUGUCUUCCAUUCGCCGAAUUCGCUUAUAACAACAGUUAUCAAUCAAGCUUGGGCAAAGCCCCUUUUGAAGUUCUCUAUGGACGAAGAUGUCGAACACCUCUUAAUUGGUCAGAAGCCGGAGAGAGGCAACUCUUUGGCCCGGACAUGAUCCAGGAUGCAGAAGAGCAGGUUCGCAUUAUUCGUGAAAAGUUGAAAACAGCCCAGUCUCGUCAAAAGAGCCAAUAUGAUCGUCAUCAUAAGGCUGUGACCUUUGAAGUUGACGAGAAGGCUUACCUUCGGGUUACACCUUUGAAGGGUACCCAUCGUUUCGGUAUCAAGGGCAAGUUGGCUCCUCGUUACAUUGGACCUUUCCGCAUUCUUGCCAAACGAGGAGAAGUUGCCUACCAGUUGGAACUUCCUCCGCAUCUUUCCAAGGUUCAUGAUGUUUUCCACGUCUCGCAACUCAGGCGUUGCUUUUCGGAUCCUAUCCGUGAAGUGGACCACGAAACGCUUGAUCUACAAGAUAACCUUUCUUACCGAGAAUACCCCGUGCGUAUUCUUGAUCAAGCUGAGCGUACCACUCGACGUCGAAACCUCAAGUUUCUUAAAGUUCAGUGGUCAAAUCAUUCUGAAAAGGAGGCAACUUGGGAAAGAGAGGAUCGUCUCCGACUCGAAUAUCCUGCGUUAUUCCCGACGACUUCUAAAUCUCGGGACGAGAUUCUUUUGAGUGGUGUGAGUUGUCACAUCCCUAACCCUUAAGCAAGAUAGCAUUGUGCUCAUGUCUUCUUUGCAUUUGCAUCUAAGAAGUUUCAACAAAAACAACAAAGUGGCAAAGGAAAAACUCAAAACCCUAGCCACCAUUCCAAUUAAAGGAAAUUUCAAACUAGUUCAAAUCAAUGAACCCAAAAUGGCCUCAAGAAAUGUUCAAACUUUCUGAUAAAUCAUGAAAGUAAAUGAGCAUUGGAGAAAACUAUUUUCUUGACACUUUAAACAUUUUAAAUAAAUGCAAAAGCCACUGGAUUCAAAUUUAAAAAUUGAAAUCAGAAACUAUAAUUUUCCAAAAAUGUUGAAAACCUUGGAAAUGAGUGGGGAUAUUAUAACAAAUAUUUCAGGAGGUCUAAAAUAUCUUUUACUUUUUGUUUUGGAGCUGAAAUAAUUAGCAAAGCAAUAAAUAGCAAAACGGAAAAACAAAAACAGAGGAAAUGGAAAAAGACUUACCUGUCGCCCAAGUCAGGCCCGGCCCAUCUCCCCGCUCGUCCCCUCCCUCGCGCCAGUAGGCAGCAGGAGGUGGCCGCCGCCUCCUCCGGCGCGGCCACGCACCUGCAUGCCUGCCUGGCCGCCGGUUCGCGCUGGCGACGACGGGGAUAAGCUCCCCAGAGCUUCCCCUAUCCAUUCCCCGCCUCGGUUCUCCUCCUCCUCCCGGAUCUCCUCCUUCUCCCUGCUGCCGCCAUUAGAGCCGAGCUCGAGCUCGAGCUGGCCAUGCCCCUGGCCAUAGGAUCCCAUCCCAGAGCACGCCAUUAGCUCCGCCUCGUCGCCCUGGUCGUCUCUGCAGAAGCCGAAGCCUCCUCGAGCCCUGCAACGCCCGCAACGCCGUCGUCUUCCUCCUCCGGCCGCCGGACCUCUCCCGUCGAUUCGUCGCCCCCAGGCCUUCCCCGAGCCGUCUAAGCUCUGCUCUGCACUCCCCGUGAGCAUGCGGUCGUUUCCCCUAAGUUUUCCCCCUCGAUCCCCUCCUCUAGCCCUAGUUUCACCGGAGCCCGACGAGGACCGCCGCUGCCGCUCGUCGCCGGUAGCCCUCCGAUGAUCAGCUCGUCCUUCCGAGAGCACCAGCAGCUCCAGGACGACGCGUAGAUGUCGUAGCAGCUAAGAACUGAGCGUGGAUCCCUCUGAUUCAAAGCCCCCGACGACGCCCGAGCUUCGGCCGCCGCUCCGGCUCGUCGUCGACGCCUCUUCCGGCGACCCUAGCCUCUCCAGAUGGUCCUGCCAGAUCGGCCACUUCGCGAGCAUGCUGUAGCUGCAAACCGCGUGCGUUUUGGUGCUGUGCAGCGCCGUCUAGGUCGCCUCCGGCGAGCCCUCCNNNNNNNNNNNNNNNNNNNNNNNNNNNNNNNNNNNNNNNNNNNNNNNNNNNNNNNNNNNNNNNNNNNNNNNNNNNNNNNNNNNNNNNNNNNNNNNNNNNNNNNNNNNNNNNNNNNNNNNNNNNNNNNNNNNNNNNNNNNNNNNNNNNNNNNNNNNNNNNNNNNNNNNNNNNNNNNNNNNNNNNNNNNNNNNNNNNNNNNNNNNNNGUGGCCGACCAUUAGGGCGUAAUCGCCCUCCCCUCAGUCGCUGCCAGAGGGCCCCACGCCUGGUCAAACCCCAAUUAGGGGCUGGUCAGCGCGGGAUUAGUCCCAGAGAGGCUGACCAGUGGGGCCCCCAUGUCAGGUUUGACCUGCACAGGUCGGCUGACCUGCUGACGUCAGCCUGAUGCAAUAAAUGGAAUUUCCAGUUUAAAACUAAUUCAGGAAAUUGCUAAAAAUUGUAAAAAAUCAUAGAAAUUAAUCUGUAACUCCAAUGAAAAUAAUUUAUAUAUGAAAAAGUAUCAGAAAAAUUCAAGGAUUCUGAUUAUGAUAUUUUCAACUAUGUUUGAAAAAGUUACAGAACCCUAAAUUGUGAAAUAAGGAAUAAUUCAAUUCUUUAAUCACUUUAUAAAUGGAAUUUGCAAAAAUAUCCAAAUUUCAUUAUAAAUGCAAUGAUCACACACUGCCCUAGAUAUAAAUCAGUACCAUAACAUGACAUUUCAUGCAUGUUAACAUUAGGUUGAUUUGAGCAUCAGGUCGAAUCAAUUAAACCGGUAUCCGAGAAUACCCGUUUGAAUUGCUAUUCGAAUGUGAUUCAAAUCAACUCUAAACCUAAAACAUCUUGAUUAUAAUAACUUAUCACUUUGCAUUCUCAUGCCAUGCUCAUGCAUCAUUUUGAUUGCAUAUGAUUGUUAUUGAAUGUUGCCAUUCAUUUCGGUAGGCUCCGCACGCCGGAUUCCACCGAAUAUUCGUCUGACGGAUAUCGUUCCUCCUCUGAGCAACAAGGCAAGCAACCCUUUUGAUCAUCACGAUAACUCCUAUGUUCUUGCUCCUGCACCUAUUUAUUGCAUUAGGAUCAAAUGCUUCAACUGCUUUUGCCACGAUAGUUGGACCCACUUCCUUUGCAUGACUUAACCUUGUCACAGUAAAUAGCCAAACCUUGCAACCUAGCAUACCUGGUAGUUGCUUGAGCUAUGAUGUGCCUUAUCCUGCUAUGCAUGCUAUGCUUAGAGUUGUGUAUGGUCUGUCAUCUGGGAGAUGAACAAAAAUGUGGAAUGUGUUCGGUGAGCAAAGGUCGUGUGUUGAACUUGAUUUGGUAAAGGUACCGGUGAAAGGCUGUGUAGGAGUACAUGGCGGGUUGUUUCAUUGGAACCGUCCUUAGGAACUGAGUUCUGUGUAUGUAAUCCAAGACUAGAUACUACCACAUGNNNNNNNNNNNNNNNNNNNNNNNNNNNNNNNNNNNNNNNNNNNNNNNNNNNNNNNNNNNNNNNNNNNNNNNNNNNNNNNNNNNNNNNNNNNNNNNNNNNNNNNNNNNNNNNNNNNNNNNNNNNNNNNNNNNNNNNNNNNNNNNNNNNNNNNNNNNNNNNNNNNNNNNNNNNNNNNNNNNNNNNNNNNNNNNNNNNNNNNNNNNNNNNNNNNNNNNNGAGUUGCAAGUAGUUUCUGGUGUUUAUAGUAAUGCUGGAGGCCGUGCAUGGUGCUGACCUGAGAGGUGGACCGUGAUGCGGUAGGCAGUGGCACGGUGUACCAAGUGGCACCCGGAUGGUGGGCUUGGGAACCCUGCGCACAUCGUUUGAGGCCGUGGCGGAAACCUCGGCCGGACUUCCGUACGGGUUACUCUCAGAUAGGCGAUAAACCUGGACUAGGUACUAGUGUGGUUAACGGUCGUGGCCGACUCCCUCGCUGGGCUUCCGCUUGAAGGUUGCCGAGGUGCAUGACGUGCACAUGGCGAUAAGUGGCAAGAGUGUGUGUGAAUAACUACACCCCUGCAGGGUUAUGAUCUAUUCGGAUAGCCGCGUCCGCGGAUAUGGACUACUUGGAGACAUAUGUUGUUCAUAGAUAACUUUAAUGACUACUCAUAAAAGUAUCAAGAUAAGUGUGAGUAUCAUGUAUGGCAUUUCCGUAGGGAGACGGAAAGGAAUCCAUGAUAGUGUAUUGUUGUGGUGGUAGUGGACUCNUUGUAGCUUGCUACGAUUCGUCUACAUUCGCCGAUGACCGACACCUGCUUUGUUGGGUCAUGUAUGCAUGUCCUUGUGCGGUACUGCCACUUUGGUUUAUAACUAGACAUGUCGAUCCGGGUUCUUUGACAUUGGAUUGCUAGCGACACUAUCGCAUACAUGAGUCAAAAGACGCAAACGGUCCUGGCUAAGGUAAGGCUGCAGCCGUGGAGUUAACCGUGCGUGAGACCACAAAGGGAUGCGAUGUGUUACAAACUGGAUUCCUAUGGCUUAGGAUCGGGGUCCCGACACCCGCGGCGCGGCGGCGUAGAGCCCUCUGCUCCCUGCCGGUUUGAGAUCUGCACCGGUAUCCUCCCUACUAGCAACUCUUCCCUCCAUCGCCCCUUUCUCCUCAUAAACGUGCAGAGUUUGCUGUCGCACUCACCACGGGAAAGAUCGCCGAGUAAUUCAUCCGAAUCUUCUGCAAAUGACCACUGUUGUGUGCCAAUAAGUGGUAGUAUUUCAUCCCUCACACGUGCUUCCUGCCUCACAUGUCAUGUAAGUAUCACAUCCCUCACAUGUGCUUCCUGACCCGCUUUCUUCUAUAGCAAAAAGAGUAUACCCACUUGGAAUUCCAGAUGUCUGCUCAGGUGCUGCAACGUCUCACUCAUAUGCGGAACCAUUACUUCAUGUCUGCCACAAAGGUACAUAUCUUAUCUGACAAUAGGUUAUUUUUCUCCUUCGAAAUUGAUGAGCUGAGAGAUAAUGCGAGGGAAUAACAUAAGUAUUUCUGUUUUAAGUGUGUAUACUAUCCUGAUAAAAUCCUCGGAACACAGAAGUGUAUGCAUGCAUUCUUGGUUCCAUGCACCAUAUUUUGUUCAUGUUUGAGUGAUUUGUUUUGACCAUGUGAAUUUGAGCUGCACAUACUUUGUAUAGAAACUUCAGUUAAUUGAUAAGACCACAAAGAAGGAAAAUAUUUAGCGACGUCUGAAUCAUUUCAAUGUAACUACAUUCUUGCACUUUAUGUCUCAUUGACACUGUUCUGUUGCAAGUAACUUGUCUUAAGCUGCACAUUUUUAUUUAUUAUAGCAUGAGUUGCUAAAAUUAAAAUUAACUUCUGUCUCUAUGUCAACAGGGUGGAAACGGUGAUGCUAUGGCAGUACAGCAAAGCAAUUGUGCAUCUCUUGCAUAUGACAAUUCUUUUUGUGUAUAGAGAUCACAUGGAUGCAAAUGCAAUGCAGGUGUGUGUUAACAUCUUCAUUCGUAAAUUACUUAUCCAUCUUAAACUUCAGUUAAUUUUGAUUUAAUUUGCAUAAUCAUAUAUAGGUCAUCUUGUGGUCUCUGGAUGAUAAAUUUUAUGGAGUACUUCACUGGAAAUGAUUUGUCUGACACUCUUAAGCAGGUAAAUUUUAUGUAAUACUUAUUCUAUGUUGUAUUGUUACUUAACUCUUAUUUCUACUUUAAUAGGAUCAUAUGGAAGAUUUUCGAACAAAACUAGCUGUCAUUUUAGUUGACUCGGAAUUGAAUGAUAUGAUAAUAUAAGAAAUCGAGACAUGGAAGAUGACGAAAACAAUAUGGAUCCCACGGAUUGUAUGAUUCUAGAUGUUGAGCUCAUCUCCGAGUCAUAUAUCCUUUCACCGUCUGUCAACCCAAAAAACGAUGACUUAAUAGACGAACUGUGCUUGUUCAUCAGUAUGUUUGAUGAUGACACUUUACUAGAGUAAGCCAUGUUUUUUUAGUUCAUUUUGUAUUCUAAUAAAUUACUCUGAUGCCAUUACAAUUGACAGAAUUUUGAUUUUAUAGGAGCGAAUGGGUGAAAAGCUCUCAUCCUUACCCUAUCAACUUAAAGUUGAGACAAAUAAAAGACAUAUCAAAUAAUGAUGAAUAUAUGGAUAUUGAUUGCUUUAAUAUGGGUGUGCGGAUACUAACACCAUGAAGUCUAGCUUCUCAGAGACAUUCCAUCUCACUACAUGGAUCUAAACUUUUGUGUAAGUUAUUAUAAUUGUGUAUUACAUAUUCUUUUUUCUCAUACCACUAUUGUUUUCUUAUUUUUAUUUUAGUCCAUGUUCCACUAUGCACGAGACCCAAGUCAUCAUGAAAAUAUGGACAGUGCUAUGUUCAAACGAUUGUUUCAUAGCUGGCCUAACAGCAAUGAGUAUCAUAUCUCAUAUCUCAUAGUUCCAACAAACUCACACUGGUAUGAAUCUUUUUAAUGCAUUAUAAUAUUAAUUAAUUCAUUCAUUCAACGCACAUUAUGUGUUUAUUUCAUACAUGUGGUGCCUUGUCGGGGUAUUUGGUUUUUAACUGCAUGCACUCAUUGUGUGAUGGAAAGCUAUAUUUUCCUAUACCCAGUUGAGUAUUUACACCAUGCUUAUUUGUAUACACAUUGCACAUACAAACUUGUUAUAACAAUGUUUUCUAAUGCAUAUGUAGAAUUGUUUUGAACUGAGGAGGCAAUUUUUGGUGCAUAUUUUAAAGUCUGAAGAAAAUGAAUCUCAAAACAAUAUCCCAUACAUUGAAGGAAGCAUCAUAGGUCCCAUCUAUAGAUAAACUUUCAUUGCUUCAAAAGAUGAACCAUCAAGACGUGUUUAGUCCUGGUUUUUAAAAUAUAUUUUUGUAACAAUUAUAAUACAAUUAUUAUGUGAUCAUGAAUUUUGUGCGGAGACAUGUUUGUGGAUCAUGUGUUACGCGCGACCUCAUAUUGUUUUAUAUAAGACACCGAUAAAUGGCUCGGUAAAAAACUCAAAUAUGUUUUACUAUAGAUUAUGAUACAUGUGUUGGAUAACAAAUAUGUCAUAAUUUUGAAAAUACAAUUUGAGUGACAUGAUAACAUUUUGUACCCGUCCGAAAAAAAUCAGAAUUUUUUUUAGUAUGAUAUCAUGUGAACUCAUUUUAUUUGAGACGUGCGCUUGCACGUGCAUGCUUACUAGUUGACUCUAAAACGAAGAAGUGCCUAGCGAUUCCAGUAGGUAGCAACCGUUUUUUUCCUUCAAGACUCUUGCUCUCCUUUUUAUUUCUCUCACUCGUUUUUUUCUUGGCCCGCUGGCCGGCUGGAAGCGUAUGUUAUAGGGACACAUGCUUGCGUACUUAGCAAUCACAACCAUUCUUUUUAGUUAUAUUUUACUGUCAAAUCUGAGCCGUUCCUUUUCUAUCAUUUUAAGUAUAUAACAGAUAAGGAGCAGAAAGAACCUAAGUUUGGGUAUGACUAAAGCACCCCAAGGUAAUAUACAAGGAAGACUCAAGCGUCUAAGCUCGAAAAUGCCCAGAAGGCACCCCCUCUUUCGUCUCCAACAUUAUCGAUAUAUCUUACUUGAAGAUAUAUUUUUAUCCGUCACAUGACAUGUGUUUUGCUUGGAGCGACAUUUUAUUUUGUUGUACUUUGUUAUAUGUUAUUUGGAAUCUUGUUUUUCAAUAAAAACAUUACAAUAAUUGCCUUUAGAAUGCUUGAAUUGCAUGUGUAAUGUGUGUUGUACAAAAAUAAAAACUUUUGCUGUAGUAUUUGAAUUAUGAUAUUUUACUAGAACAUGGAAAGUUUUCAAAAAAUUUACAAAAUACUUUCAUACAAAUUAUCUAGAGUGACCUAAAUAUUCAUAAUUGUUGGAGAUAGAGAAGUAUAUUGUUUAAAUAGAUUGCUACAGACUUUUCUAUUUGGACAGAUUGUUGCCAGAGAUUUAUUUCUACUUAUCCUAUAGUUCUCAUAGCUUAUAUUGGUAGAUAUAAAUUAUGUAAAUGAUAGUAUACGGUACCUAAUAUAUAAAAAUUAUUAUGCAACUUGUCUUGGAAGUACAUGAAGUGUUGACGUAUUCUUAUGUGUACCAACCUAUCUCACAAGUUUUUUUGAGUUUUGUGUGGAUGAAGUUUUUGAGACUUAGGUGAAACCGGGAUAUGAGAGGAUUGAAAUAGAUAUAAAAGCUCAAGCUUGGGGAUGCGCGAGGCACCCCAAGUAAAUAUUUCAAGAAGUCUCAAGCAUCUAAGCUUGGGGAUGCUACGCAUCCCACCUCUCUUCGCCAACAAAUGUCGAUUAGCCUAUGUUGAUCCUAAGUUUUUAUUUGUCCAACUGAUAUGUCCUAUUCCUGGAAUGCAUUUUUAUUUAGAUUGAUGUUUGAAUAAAAUUCUCAGAUCUGAUUUUUUUAUUGAGUACUCACAUAGCUACUUAAUUGUUUGACUAUUCAUUGAUCUUCACUUAUACCUUUCGAGAGUAGUUUGAUGUUUACUCUUGUGCUUCACUUAUAUCAUAAGAGUAAAUUGUGAAUGAAUUCAAUAUCAUAAAUCUAAAAUUAUCCAUAUUCUUUAUGCUUAGUAGUAUUUUCGCAUUUGGUUUAGAAAAGUAAAUCUAUUGAAGUUUGAUAAUCCCAAUAUUGGUCGUACAAGAAAUUCAUGAAUGAUUAGUAUAACGAAGAGAACUUUCACAUACGAAUAUAUUAUAUUGGACAUAUUUUAUGAUUAUGAAUACCCAUUAAUUAUUAUCAUACUUUAUCAAAUAGUUUAAGUUGCAAAAGGAAGACAACGUAAUGGUUAUGUUUCGGUAUAUUUGCAUAGAAGUUAUAUUGUUAUGGAUGCUCCAACAUGUGGUGCUUGUUUAGAACCUUUUGCUAGCCAAAACUUCGUACUAAGUAGAGAUACUACUUGUACAUCCAACUCCUUGAGCCAAGUUUCUGUCAUGAGAGUCCACCAUACCUACCUAUAUAUGGUAUUUCACUGCCAUUUGACUCCCCACUGAUUUGCAUUGGUUUCCCUCCAAGCUUAAAGGAUGAUGUAGCACAACGACGACAAGUAUUUCCCUCAGUUAUGAAACCAAGGUAUCAAUCCAGUAGGAAGAUCCACAAGGCUAUGUAAGCAGUACCUGCACACAAAUAACAAAUCCUCGCAACCCAACACGUGUAGGGGUUGUCAAUCCCUUGUGGGUAAAUUAAAAGAUAGAUUGGUAGAUGCAAAUAAAGUGAUGGCAAAUAAAACGCAACGAGGUAUUUUUAGUUUUUUUGAGAACAUAGAUCUAAAAAUAAAAGAGCAAAUAAAAUGGAAAUGCAAAUAGAAAAGUAGAGAUUGUAAAUAGGUGAUAUGAAAUAGCCCGGGGGGCGUAGAUUUCACUAGUGCCUUCUCUCGAGAAAAUAGAAAACAGUGGGUAGACAAAUUACUGUUGAGCAAUUAAUAGAACAACGAAUAAUUAUGAUGAUAUCCAAGAUAAUGAUCAUGUAUAUAGGCAUCACAUCCAAGACAAGUAGAUCGACUUCUGCCUACAUCUACUUCUAUUACUCCACACAUCGAGGAGCACCAAUGAUGAUGGUGAACCCCUCCAUGAUCGUGUUCCUCUCCGGAAUGGGCUCUAUAUUGGAUUUCGUGGCUUCUCAAACUUGUUGCGACUGAAAUGUUUUUUCCUCGACUCCUCUAGGGUUUCUAGAAUAUUGGGUAUUUCUAGAGCUCAGAGGCGGUGGAGGAGGCGCCCGAGGCCCCCACUAACCAUCAAGCCGCGCCGGGGGACCUGGGCGCGCCCUGGUUCAUAGUGGGCUGCCUCAGCCUCCUCUCGUGAUCAUCCUUGGCUCCCAAGUUACCUUAUGGUCCAAAAAAUCACUGUAAAGAUUCGUGGCAUUUGGACUUCAUCUAAUAUUGAUUUUCUACGAAGGAAAAAACAGCAACUCACACUAGGCACUAUGUCAACAGGUCAGUCCCAAAAAAUGAUAUAAAGUUGUUAUAAAAUGAUCAUAAAACAUCCAAGAAUGAUAGUAUAACAGCAUGGAACAAUACAAAAUUAUAGAUAGUUGGAGACAUAUCAGCAUCCUCAAGCUUAACUUCUGCCCGUCCCCGAGUAGGUAAGUGAUAAAAACAGAAAUUUUUGAUGUGGAAUGCUGCCUCACAUGUUCAUCAUAUUCUUUUUAUUUUUAGCAUGGACAUAUGGACUUGUAGAUGAUUGAAAACAAUAGUAUGUAGUUUGACAUGAAAAUUUCAAUACUCAAGCAUAUCAACAAGCAACCAAGUCUUUCAAAAUAUCAAUGCUAAAGAAUGCUAUCCCUAGCCCAUCAUGCUCCAUCAUUGAUCCGUUCAUGCAACACACCCAAAUAUUAACUACGUCCAAUGCUCAAGUAUGAUAAUGGUGUUCCUUAGUUGGUGCUUUAUAAGAGAAGAUGGAGACUCAAAUAAAAAUUGCAUAAAAUAGAUAGAUAGGCCCUUCGCAGAGGGAAGCGGGGAUUUGUAGAGGUGCGAGAGCUCAAAGUGAAAAAAUUAGGGAGAAAAUAUUUUGGGUGGUAUGCUUUUCGUGUCAAUGAAAAAAAUUAAGAGUUUCCAAUAUCCUCCAUGCUAAAAAAAUUAUAGGCAGUUCCCAAACUUAAAAUAAAGUUAUUCCAUUUUACACCAUUCUUUCACACUCCACGGCUAGCCACAUCCACGGGUACCGUCCAUACCAACACAUUCCAAGGAAUUUAUUAUUUGACAAUGUAAAAUAGUUUUUCUUUGCAUUUUGGGAUUGGGCAUUCCUAUUACCACCAUACUCUCGUGCAAUGACAAGUGAAUAAACACUCACCUUGAGAAUAACCUAUUUAACAUGGAAUUUACCGGCCACCCCUCUCCGCUUCAUGAGCGGUACGGGCACACAAAACAGAAAUUUAUUUUGAACAUUAGAGUUGGCACUUGCAAAUUUACUUAGAACGGCGUUGAAAUACUGCACAUAGGUAGGUAUGGUGGACUCAUUUGGCACAACUUUGGGUUUAGGAUUUGGAUGCACAAGCAGUAUUCCCGCUUAGUACAAGUGAAGGCUAGCAAAUAGAUAGAGAAGCGCCCAACCAAGGAACGAAAAUCAUCAUAAGUGAACAUUAAACAUAACUAACAUCGAAUAACGCAACACAAGUAGGAUGUAAUUUCAUAGAAAAAUUAUUGAAUUCAUAUGCAUGCAUAGGGAAUCACAAACAUUAACCCCAAUAUUCUUACUAAGGCAUAAUUUCUCAUCAACAUACUCACAAAUUACUAUCUUCAUAUCGCAAAACUAUUGCAAAGAAUCAAGUUUAAUAUCCAAUGAUCUUCAUGAAAGUUUUUAUUAUAUCUCCCAUGGAUAUUUAUCACUUUGGGACUAAUUUAAUUUAAAGCAAGUUGCCAUUGCAAAUAACAUGCUCUCAAACAAAUAUAAGUGAAGAACAAGAGCACGAGUUUUUCUUUAAAAUUUUCAACUCUUAAAAUAAUAUAAGUGAAGCAAGAGAGGAUUUCUUCAAAUUUCUACUACUCUCAAAAUAAUCUAAGUGAAGCAUGAGAGCAGAUUUCUUCAAAAUAACAGUACCUCCAUGCUAAAAAAUAUAUAAGUGAAGCGCUAGAGAAAUUCCAUGGUGUCACAUACCUAGAUUCUCUUUGAUGAUUAGCAAGAUUGUGCUCAUGUUUUAUUCUUGCAUUAAAAAGUGAAAAUAGGAAUCAAAGAAAAACCCUUAGCACUUCUAUAUUCAACUCAAUCUAAAUGAAGCAAAAGUUCACUGAACCCAAAAUGGACUUCAUAAAAGCCCACCCUUUUUGAUAAAUAUUGGAAACAAUAUUUCAGGGGUGGAACUUAUUUUUAAAAUACUUCUGGUAUUUUAAUUAUCUCAAAAAAGCCAUUGAUAUUGCUUAAAUAGGUGGUUUCAAAUAUUUCAGAAUAUCAUAAAAUGUUGGAAUAAUUAUGUGGGCUUGGAGAUCUUCCAAAUAACACCCGAGAGUUUUAUUCACUAUUUGUAGGAAUAGUUUGGAGCCAAAAUAAAAUAAAACAAAUGUCAGAAAGGUUAAACAGAAAACAAAAUGGAAAGAAAAUAGAAAAGUGCUAUCUGUCGCUCACCUUGGCCCAACCCAUUUCCUCUCAUGUCGUCUUCCUCCUCGACAGUAGGCAGCAGGAGGUGGUCGCCGCUUCCUCUGGCGAGGCCACGCACGUGGGUGCCUGCCUAGCCGCCCUGUCGUGCUGGCGAGGAAGAUAACCUCCCCCGCACCCCAUUCCAGGCGGUUCACCCUCUCUUUUCCUCUCUCCUCUCGGCCGCCAUUGGAGUCGAGCUCGAGCUCGAGCUCGCCGUCGUCUCCGGCCACAACAAGCCUCCCCGAGUGCCUCAACCUCUCCGCCUCGUCGAGUUCGUCGUCCACGCCAACGGAAUCAAGCUCCCGAGCCCUGCAUCACCCCAUCGACGUCGUCUUCUUCCUCGGAUCGCCGACGUUCGCCGUUGUUGUUCUUCCUCUCCAGGCCAUCCCCGAUCCCGCUCUCAACGCCUCUACAACCCCGUGAGCUCAGGUUGCCUUCGCCCUCUUUUCCCCCUCGAUCCUGAGCUCUAAACCUCGAUUUCACCGGAGCCCGACGAGAUCCGCUGCGGAAGCUCGUCGCCGGUGACGCUCCGACGAUCGGUUGGUCAUUCCGAGGCCACCAUCGGCUCCAGCUCGUUGAGUAGGACGCGUAUAUGCUUAGGUGAAACCGCAGUGCGCUCUGUUUCGAUGACCUCGACGUUGCCUGAGCUCUGGCAGCCGCCGAUAUUGUCACCGGCGUCGACUCCGGCCGUUUCAACUCCCAAGACUUGCAAAAAUGAACUCGCGGGCGAAAGGACGUUCCUCUGGUGCCUUUCGCCGCUUGCUUGGUCGCCGAAGGAGCAUUUCCGAUGCCCUCCGCCGUCCCUGGGGCCACCGGCGGCUCAUCGCCGGUGGGUUUGACCCCCAGAGCAGGUGGGUUGACUUCCCAUAGUCUAUGACAAGUGGGGCCAACCCCUGGUUAAUUAGGACUAACCUAAUAAAAAUUAAGGAAAAUAUUAAAUACUAAACAGUCACUAACAUGUGGGCCAGCCACUGCUAAUUAACUAGUUAACUUAAAGUUUAACUAAAAACUAACCAUAGACACUAACUAGUGGAUCCCACUGGUCAGGUUUGACUUUCAACGGCCAGAUUGACCUGCUGAUGUCAUGCUGAUGCAGUAAUUCUAUUUCUGUUUUAAAACAAUUCCACAAUAUGUUCAAAACUUUGAAAUUCAUAGAAAAUUAAAUAUAACUCCAAAUCUGACAAAUAAUACAUGUAAAAUGAUCAGAAAAAUUAAAUGAAGACAAUGGUGCUAUAUUCAUGCAUGACAAACAAAGUUAUGAAAUAGCAUCAGGUCAAAUCAAUUAAAUGAAUUUGAUAAAUAUCUUAUUUCAAAUAAUAUUUGAAUUUUGAAUUCAAAUCAGAUUCAUACUAAGGUUCUGUUAGUCACCUCAAACCAUGCUACAUUUCAUUUCAUGAGAUGAUCAUGCAUCAUAUUGUUGCAUAUGAAUGAUACUGAUUGUCGUUAUUAUUUCGGUUGGCUCUGCCCUUCCGGAUACGUCCGAAUAUCCGACUGACGGAUUUAAUCCUUCUGCUGAGCAACAAGGAAAGCACCCUUUUGAUCAUCCUGAUAUAAUCCCAUGUUCCCGCUCCUGCUCUCACUUAUUGCAUUAGGACAAAAAAUUUCACAUGAUUUACUUUGGUAGCUGAACCUAUUCAUUUGCAUGACCUGUCAUUGUCACAGUAAAUAGCUAAACGUGGCAAUCUAGCAUACCUGGUAGAUGCUUGAGCCAUGAUGUGUCUUAUCCUGCUAUGCUUGUUAUGCCUAGAGUGGUGUCAGAUCUGUUUCAUCUGAGUGAUGAACAAGAAUGUAUGAAUGUGUUCUAGUGACAAAGAAUAAGUGUGGAACCUGAUUUGGUAAAGGUACCGAUGAAAGGCUAUGUAAGAGUACAUGGCAGGUUGUUUCAUUGGAACCGUCCUUAGGAACUGAGUUCCGUGUAUGUAAUCCAAGACUAGAUACUACCACACGUUGCGAUACUUAAUUGACCCUCUUGGCUUAUUAAUCGCCUAGUACUCGGUCCAGGAGUUGCAAGUAGUUUCUGGUAUUUAUAGUCAAGCUGGAGGCCGUGCAUGGUGGAGACCUUAGAGGUGGGCUAUGAUGCGGUAGGAAGUGGCACGGUGUACCAAGUGGCACCCGCAUGCUGGGCUUGGGAACCCUGCGCACAUCGUUUGGGGCCAUAGCGGAAACCUCGGCCGGAGUUCCGUGCGGGUUCAAUCUCAAAUAGGCGAUAAACCUGGACUAGCUAUUAGCGUGGUUAACGGUCGUGGCCGACUCCCUCACUGGGCUUCCGCUUGAAGGUUGCCGAGGUGCAUGACGUGCACAUGGCGAUAAGUGGUGAGAGCGUGUGUGAAGAAGUACACCCCUGCAGGGUUAUGGUCUAUUCGGAUAGCUGCGUGUGCGGAUAUGGACUACUUGGAGACAUAUGUUGUUCAUAGAUAACUUUAAUGGCUACUCAUAAAAGUAUCAAGAUAAGUGUGAGUAUCAUGUAUGGCAUUUCCGUAGGGAGACGGAAAGGAAUCCAUGAUAGUGUAUUGUUGUGGUGGUAGUGGACUCAUGUACGACUUAUCAAAGUUGUUUAAAACUAUUUAAAAUUGUAGUAUAGUCUAGCCAAGAGUCAAAGUUGGCUUGCUGCAUGAAACCCCACAACCCCCUUUGUUGAUACAUGUGCAUGAGUAGAUAGAUUUGUUCUAAAGUCUUGUUGAGUACCUUUGUCCUCAUGUUUGUUUAAUAAAUGUUGCAGAAGAUACCCACGAGCCAAUAGGUGGGUUCUACCUAGACCUCGAUGAUGACGAGUAGCUGGUGCCCCAGCUACGACCUGGCCCCUUUCAGAAGGGAUCUGUAGAUAGUCAGGCGUUAUGCCUUUUCCUUUCAACUGUCUGUACUCAGACAGCUUUAAUGCUUCCGCUUGGUUUGUAUGACUUUGCUUAUAUGACUUGAGUGUCGGGUCAUGUGACCCCUACCUGUAUGAACUUAUUAUGCAAGACUCUUCCGAGUCUUCUGAACAAAUGUUGUGAUGUUGUAUGGUUAUGUUGGGAUGCCAUUGUUUUAUCUAUGCAUAUCGAGUAUGUCAUGCGUACAUGUGGUGUAUUGUGAUAUGUAUGGGAUUCGACACCUAGUCGUAUGCCCUUAGUAGCUCUCUAUGCAGAGAAAUGCCCCGUUGUGUUUCCACCGAGCCAUGGUAGUUCGUUACUGCUCCGGACAGAUUGGUUGACCGACAUGUGUCCUUCUUAGUUUUCGUGUUUGUCCCUACGGGGAAAUGUCAUGCGGUGUAAUGGAGUCCUUGUAGCUUGCUACGACUCGUCUACACUCGCUGAUGACAGACACAUGCUUUGCUAGGUUAUGUAUGCAUGUCUUUGUAUAGUUGAGCCACUUGAGUUUAUGACUAGUUAUGUCGACCCGGGUUCUUUGACAUUGGAAUGCUAGCGACACAAUUGCAUACGUGAGUCAAAAGGCGCAAACGGUCCUGGCUAAGGUAAGGCGGCAGCCGUGGGGUUAACCAUGUGUGAGACCGCAAAGGGAUGCGAUGUGUUACAGGCUAGAUUCCUAUGGCUUAGGAUCGGGGUCCCGACAUCGUUGGUAUCAGAGCCUGACUAACUAUAGGAUUACCAAGACAAACUGGUCAAAGUCGAGUCUAGAAAUGCUUUAGUUAUAUGUAAGGGAGUUGUUUGUGGAAGGGAACGUAAUGCUCUUGCCUCUCUUCUCAAGUCAUUCUAUUCUAGUCAUCCUCAUCUUUUCUACGGGGAUUAAGAACUAGGUUUCUUAUCUAUCUCUCAGGAUCGCGUGUUACAAAUUGGUAGAUUGUAGGAAAAACGGUUCGAGAGUUAAUCCGAGUUUUCUUUUGUUCCAAGGAAAAGAAAAUAAGUAUUUGAUGACCAUGCAAUUUGAACUUGAUAGUUGAGUGGUCAUGCUAUCCUAUCUUUUGUGGGUUGUCUCAAAAUUGAUUUUGAACAUUUACAACCAUUAUGCUACCCAAUUUCAUUUCCAGAGCUCUAAUGCCUUUGCAUUAUUCUCUAUUUCAGAUGCCUGUCCGUCCUUUUUGUUAGGUGGUCCAUCUAACUAGGUGCAUUGAUGUACCGGGUCACACGACCAUGUUGGUCAGGAUGAUGUCAGUAGUCGAUUACCGCUGGCACCCAGAGUAUACAGUGGAGGAGCAGUACUAGGAUUUCAACCAGAGUCAGUACCUGUGCACUGUUAGGGUAUUCCCAGAUUACCCUGGAGCCGAGGAGCCGAUCCAUUGGUCUUAUGGAUUGGGGGUUACCGUUGACAUGGCGGUACAAGAUGACGCCUAUUCAAUGUUGACCAUCAUGAGAGCCACACAUGCACUGCUGCAGAAUUCAGAGUUGUGUUAUGUUCCCGCUUCUCAGCCAGGAGAAGAAGGAUAUCUCAGUGGAGUCUACUUUGAUUCCUCUUUGGAGGAUCCGCUGCUGCAGAUUACCACUCAAAUGUUAGAGAAUAGAGACCGAGAUGCUCGUGCCCUUCGUAUGGAGCUUUAUGCUACUCGUGCCCGUGUGUGGACAACUUUGACACAGCUGACACCUGUAGUUCAGACAGGCUAUGGGGAUAUGGAGAUGUUGAACCCAGUUAGAACUCAUCUUCUAGCUCAUGUUGACUAGCCUGCUAUCGGAGGUGUCACCCCUCUUCGGGGACCUCUAUUGCCACCAGUUAGGGGACCAAGGCUACAACCGUGUCCUUACGGUUCCCAGGGGUCUCAGGCUAGUGGAGGCAAUCUGUAUGAGAUGUUUUAUGCGGAUGCUUGAGCCCGUGAGUGGAAUAGUAGUAUUGUAGUGGUUAUAUUUCCACAGUCCUGUGCGUCUUGUGGAAUAUGACUAUGUUGUGAGAUGAGUUUUGGAGGCAUUGAUAAAUAAUGUAUAGGAAGCUUGGAAAGCCUCUGAUGAGUAGUAUCAUCUUUUCAGUAGUUUUCUCCUCAGCUUGAGGUUGUACUGAACUAUGUUAUGGUGUGUAUGAACCAUGGCGUAUAUAUAGCAGUUUGCUUGUUACCAUGUUGUUCGGAUGUUCAUUUCCGCAUUCCAUGUUGUUCAGUGCAUUCUUAAUCCAUAGUUAGUAUUGAUGUUGAUCCGAUCUAAGUUGUGAGUUUGUUUGCCAGGAUGGUGUUUACCAGGCACAACCGUGCCCCUAGCCAUGAGCAGGGAGAAGGUAGUCAGGUAGCACAUGAGGAACUACCUCACCCGCCUUCUCUGGCGGAGGUUAUGCUGGAGGCAGAAAGGAACAAGAGAGAGACCAACCGUCUGCUAGAGCGUAUUGAACAAAACACGGCUCGUGAGCCGCGAAAUGACGCAGUGUCCCUCAAUGACUUUGUGAAGCUAAAUCCCCUAAAGUUCCAUCACUCCGUCGAUCCUCUCGACGCUGAUGACUGGUUGUGCAGUAUAUCACGCAAGAUACGCUCUGCCAACGUUUCUGAGGCUGACAAGGUGACAUUCGCUGCGUACUUUCUGGAAGGCCCCGCCAAUCUGUGGUGGGAGAAUUUUGAAGCUAUGCGUCCUGCUGGACCAGCAGACACAUGGGAAGAUUUUAGUGCACCUUUCCGUCUACAUUACAUUCCAGAGGGUCUGAUGGACCGUAAGAGAGGAAUUAUGUUCCUUCACUCACGAAAAGUUGACCGUGGAUGCUUAUAGCCGCGAGUUCGGUAAUCUCGCUCGCUACGCAACUGAAGAGGUGUCAACCGAUGCCAAGAAACAAGCAAGAUUCCACAAGGAACUGAGCCCCGAACUUCGUCGUGACCUGCGCCUUCAUGAAUAUACAAGUUUCCAAGCUCUUGUCAACAAGGCGAUCAGUGCCGAGACUGGUCAUACUGACUAUGAAGCCAUGAAGCAGCACUCUCGUGAUUCUGGCUCCUCAUCCCGUUCAGCGUUUCCGAAGCACCGGGUGUGGGUCCCGAAUAGUUCUCUGCCGCCAAGAUAUACCCCGAGGCCAUCCUAAGUGGCGCCUCAGGCAAAACAGACCAACCCCCCAGCCAAGACCUAUGGUGGUCCAGCUUCCAACGCUGCACCACGUGCCAAUCAGGUGAUCUGUUACAAGUGUGGAGAACCAAGACACUAUUCGCGUGAGUGUCCUCAGAAUAUCGCUGCCAAGCAACCUGGGAAGUCUGUUGGGCAAGGCAAGUCGGGCAAGGCAUAUUAUGUGAAGCCAACUCCUGCACGUGGCCGCGUGAAUUAUGUUUCAGCAGAAGAAGCUGCAGAGGACCCCGACGUCAUUUUGGGUACGCUCCUUGUCAAUCAUCACCCAACGUCUGUUCUUAUUGAUACUGGGUCAUCUCAUUCCUUCAUUUCUGAAAGUUAUGCGCAGUUGCAUAACAUAUCCUUUUGUGAUAUGCCAAUCCCAUUAGUUGUCCAAACUCCUGGUAGUAAAUGGCAGACUUCUAGGAUAAGUUAUGACAAUGAAAUUCUAGUGUACACACUAGUUUUUCUAGCAUCAUUGAUAGCCAUUAAAUCCUCAAAUAUCAAUAUCAUCUUGGGUAUGGACUGGAUGUCAGCUCAUUACGCCAAGAUUGAUACCCAUUCUAGGAAUGUUCAGCUUACCCAUCCCUCGGGUGAGAUAGUUAAUCUCUCAACUCGAGUUGCCAAAUGCCAGCUCUAUUCCCUCAAUUUUGAUCCUCUUCCAGAACUUGAAGACAUUCCGGUAGUNGGCCACGUAAUCUCUGGUAAGGGUAUUGUUGUCAAUCCCGAGAGAGUUCAAGCCGUCCUUGAUUGGACUCAACCUGAAUCGGUUAAGCCAGUUAGUAGUUUUCUUGGUCUAGCGAGCUAUCGUCGCCGCUUUGUCGAGAACUUCUCCAAGGUUGCAAAGCCUCUAAGUGAACUCCUCAAGAAAGAUAAAGAGUUUGAGUGGACACCAUAGUGUGAGCAUAGUUUUCAGGAACUGAAAAGAUGCCUGACUUCCUCACCUGUGUUGCUACCACCAGAUUUUUCGAAGGACUUUGUUAUCUAUAGUGACGCCUCGUAACAAGGAUUAGGUUGCAUUCUCAUGCAGGAUCGUCAUGUGAUUGCAUACGCAUCUCGACAGUUGCGUCCACAUGAGGAUAAUUAUCCCACACAUGAUCUUGAGCUUGCAGCUAUAGUCCAUGCACUAAAAACCUGGCGACAUUACCUUCUUGGUAAUCAUUUCGAAAUUUUCACUGAUCACCAAAUUCUGAAAUAUAUCUUCACCGAGACGGAUUUGAAUCUCACGCAAAGACGGUGGGUCGAGUUGAUCACAGAUUACGACUUAGGGAUAACUUACACCCCGUGGAAGGCCAAUGUCAUGGCUGAUGCACUAAGUCGUAAGCCUUAUUGUAACAAUCUGAUGUUACAACGAGGUCAACCACGUCCCUAUGAGGAAUUUCGGAAGUUAAACCUCCACAUUGUUCUUCAAAGAUUCCUUUCUACACUAGUGGCGAAACCUACUCUUGGGGAUCAAAUCAUAGCUGUGCAGAGAUAUGAUAAGGGUAUAUCCCAGAUCAAGGAGAAUAUUGCUAGCGGAAACGCUAAGGAUUUCUCUACUAAUGAGCAAGGUGUUGUGUUCUUCCAGAACCGUUUAGUGGUUCCUAAGAGCAAACGUCUGCGACAGUUGAUCCUUAAGGAGGCUCAAGAUUCUCGUGUCACGAUUCAUCCUGGUAGUACUAAGAUGUAUCAGGACCUACGCCAGAGGUUCUGGUGGACUAGGAUGAAGAGAGAAAUUGUUGAGUUCGUUGCUAACUGCGACGUUUGUCGUCGAGUUAAAGCAGAACAUCAAAGGCCUGUUGGCACCCUUCAACCUUUAGCUAUUCCUAAAUGGAAAUGGGAUAAAGUUAGUAUGGAUUUCAUCACUAGAUUUCCCAGGACCAAGAAAGGGCAUAAUGCUAUCUUUGUGGUCAUUGACCGUCUUUCCAAAGUAGCUCAUUUUCUUCCAGUUCGUGAGAGUGUAACAGCUAGCUAGCUAGCAGAGUUAUAUAUCUCACGAAUAGUGUCUCUUCAUGGUGUUCCAUUGGAGAUUAAUUGAGAUCGUGGAAGUAUUUUUACUUCUAGUUUCUAGGAAAGCUUUCAAAAUGCCAUGGGUACUCACCUAUCUUUUAGCACUGCUUUCCAUCCUCAAUCAAGUGGUCAAGUAUAAAGACUCAAUCAAAUCCUAGAGGAUAUGCUACGAGCUUGUGUUAUAUCGUUCGGUAUGAAUUGGGAGAAGUGUCUUCCAUUCGCCGACUUUGCUUAUAACAAUAGUUAUCAAUCAAGAUUGGGCAAAGCCCCUUUUGAAAUUCUCUAUGGACGAAGAUGUCGAACACCUCUUAAUUAGUCAGAAACCGGAUAGAGGCAAUUCUUUGGUCCGGAUAUGAUCCAGGAAGCACAAGAGCAAGUUCACAUUAUUCGUGAAAAGUUGAAAACAGGCCAAUCUCGUCAAAAGAGCCAAUAUGAUCGUCGUCAUAAGGCUGUGACCUUUGAAGUUGACGAGAAGGCUUACCUUCGGGUCACACCUUUGAAGGGUACCCAUCGCUUCGGUAUCAAAGGCAAAUUGGCUCCUCGUUACAUUGGNUCUAUAUUCAACUCAAUCCAAAUGAAACAAAAGUUCAAUGAACCCAAAAUGGCCUUCAUAAAAGCCCACCCUUUUUGAUAAAUAUUGGAAACAAUAUUUCAGGGGUGGAACUUAUUUUAAAAAUACUUCUGGUAUUUUAAUUAUCUCAGAAAAGCCAUUGAUAUUGCUUAAAUAGGUGGUUUUAAAUAUUUCAGAAUAUCAUAAAAUGUUGGAAUAAUUAUGUGGGCUUGGAGAUAUUACAAAUAACACCCUAGAGUUUUAUUCACUAUUUAUAGGAAUAGUUUGGAGCCAAAAUAAAAUAAAACAGAUGUGAGAAAGGUUAAACAGAAAACAUAAAUGGAAAGAAAAUAGAAAAGUGAUAUCUCUCGCUCACCUUGGCCCAACCUAGCUCCUCUCAUGUCAUCUUCCUCCUCGACAGUAGGUAGAAGGAGGUGGCCGCCGCUUCCUCCGGCAAGCCACGUACCUGGGUGCCUGCCUGGUCGCCCUGUCGUGCUCGCGAGGCAGAUAACCUCCCCCGCAACCCAUUCCACGCGUUUCCACCUCCCCAUUCGCUCUCCUGUCCUCUCUCCUCUCAGCCGCCAUUGGAGUCGAGCUCGAGCUCCCCAUUGUCUUCGGCCACAGCAAGCCUCCCGGAGUGCCUCAACCUCUCCGCCUCGUCGAGUUUAUCAUCCACGCCAACGGAAUCGAGCUCCCGAGCCCUGCAUCGCCCCAUCGAAGUCGUCUUCUUCCUCGGAUCACCGACAUUCGCCGCC